rnacentral:ncRNA from 1 species
AAUGUAUCACUGAAUCAUGUUGAUUGCCCUUGAGUAGCUUGUCAAGGAAAAUUAUUGUAGUACUUGUCGAGUAUUCUGCAUAUGUAAAAGUAUAUAACAAAAAAGGCAAACCUUAUUAUUAUUCAUCAAAAAGGAUUUACAAGUAAAAUGUACUGAAAUUUAGGGAUAGAAGCGACGUAGUUUGUCUAUGUGCCAGGAGUUGGGCAAGCGUGUUCCAUUUGGGUACACAAGUCUAUAAGAUGUAGGGCGUGUAACUUCAGUGACCACAAAAGGUCCUUCCCAGGGUGUAGAUAACUUGUGCAUUCCCUCCUAGCUUGUUUUCCAUUUGAGUACCAGAUCACCGACCACGAAGGAGCGGUCUUUGACGUUCCUAUUGUGGUAUCGUCGAAUGGCCUCGAGAUACUUUGCUGUUCGAAGGCAAGAAGUUAGGCGUCUCUCUUCCAUGCAGUUGAUUUCGAGUUCUCUGGCGAGGUCUGCUGAAGACUGGUCGAAAUGUUCGACUCUUGGAGAUCCAAAGGCUACAUCCGAGGCGAGCACUGCCUCGGCCCCAUAAACCAUAAAAUAGGGAGAUACGCCUGUGUUCCGACUAGGCUGUGUUCGGAGACGCGAAAUUCCUUGUCGGGUAAGUUCCGACCCGCACGAAAGGCGUAACGAUCUGGGCACUGUCUCGGAGAGAGGCUCGGUGAAAUAAACAUGUUUGUGAAGAUGCGGACUACCUGCACCUGGACAGAAAGACCCUAUGAAGCUUUACUGUUCCCUGGGAUUGGCUUUGGGCUUUUCCUGCGCAGCUUAGGUGGAAGGCGAAGAAGGCCCCCUUCCGGGGGGCCCGAGCCAUCAGUGAGAUACCACUCUGGAAGAGCUCGGAUUCUAACCUUGUCAAACCCGCGAGCCACACCACGGCGGUAACUCUUUCAUCCACCGGCCUGGUGCCCUGUCAUUUUCCAUGUACAACCUUUUCUUUAGAGCAUCAAUAAUCAUUCCAUUUGCUCGCUCGACUUGACCAU